CCUCGCCGGCCGGACCGGACCGGCACGGGUACGGAGUAACAACGUAUGCGAACCUGCCCUCCGCAGGGGGAUAACCCGGAGAAAUCCGGACUAAUACCGCGUGGUACACCAGUGGGGCAUCCCACGGGUGUUAAAAGGAAGCGAUUCCGGCGGAGGAUGGGCAUGCGGCGCAUUAGCUUGUUGGCGGGGUAACGGCCCACCAAGGCGACGAUGCGUAGGGGUUCUGAGAGGAAGGUCCCCCACACUGGUACUGAGACACGGACCAGACUCCUACGGAAGGCAGCAG
rnacentral:rRNA from 1 species